CUCUGCUACUGAAUAAUUAAGAGGAAAGUAUCUCCUGAGCCCUAAAAAUAAUUAAAAUGCUCCUCUUUUAACAGCUCAAUUAGAAGAGACAUAUGAAAAGAACCAGUAGGAUGGAACACGUCAAGAAUUUGAAGACCCUGAAGACACAACAAUAUUCCAGGAUCCAUGGAGGAAGAUGUCACUGUGGUAAGAUGCAACAAUCCAGAGAUCCCCACCUUCCUGUCCGACCACAGGAUCCAGACUUUACUCAUGAUUAUGAUGAGGACAGUCUUAUUCUAUGUCCUUCAUAUACAGGAGUAACAACCACAUUGCUAAAAGAGAAAAAAAAACCCUCAACUACAGAAGCUAUCAAAGCCAGCAUAGCCCAAUGUGGGCAAGGUGUUAUAGUCUGG
rnacentral:lncRNA from 1 species